rnacentral:rRNA from 1 species
AACGAACGCUGGCGGCAUGCCUAACACAUGCAAGUCGAACGAGACCUUCGGGUCUAGUUGCGCACGGGUGCGUAACGCGUGGGAAUCUGCCCUUGGGUUCGGAAUAACAGUGAGAAAUUACUGCUAAUACCGGAUGAUGUCUUCGGACCAAAGAUUUAUCGUCCAGGGAUGAGCCCGCGUAGGAUUAGCUAGUUGGUGGGGUAAUGGCCUACCAAGGCGACGAUCCUUAGCUGGUCUGAGAGGAUGAUCAGCCACACUGGGACUGAGACACGGCCCAGAAUACUACGGGAGGCAGGCGUGGGGAAUAUUGGAAGAUGGGCGCAAGCCUGAUCCAGCAAUGCCGCGUGAGUGAUGAAGGCCUUAGGGUUGUAAAGCUCUUUUACCCGGGAUGAUAAUGACAGUACCGGGAGAAUAAGCACCGGCUAACUCCGUG